GAUGAACGCUGGCGGCGUGCCUAAUACAUGCAAGUCGAGCGAACAGACGAGGAGCUUGCUCCUCUGUCGUUAGCGGCGGACGGGUGAGUAACACGUGGAUAACCUACCUAUAAGACUGGGAUAACUUCGGGAAACCGGAGCUAAUACCGGAUAAUAUAUUGAACCGCAUGGUUCAAUAGUGAAAGACGGCUUUGCUGUCACUUAUAGAUGGAUCCGCGCCGCAUUAGCUAGUUGGUAAGGUAACGGCUUACCAAGGCUACGAUGCGUAGCCGACCUGACAGGGUGAUCGGCCACCCUGGAGCUGAGACACGGUCCAGACUCCUACGGGAGGCAGCAGUAGGGAAUCUGCCGCAAUGGGCGAAAGCCUGACGGAGCAACGCCGCGUGAGUGAUGAAGGUCUUCGGAUCGUAAAACUCUGUUAUUAGGGAAGAACAAAUGUGUAAGUAACUAUGCACGGCUUGACGGUACCUAAUCAGAAAGCCACGGCUAACUACGUG
rnacentral:rRNA from 1 species